AGCCCCAGGCCGGUGGGUCAGUGCACCGCGUUCUCGCACGCGUCAUGGCGGUCCUCGGAGUACAGCUGGUGGUGACCCUGCUCACUGCCACCCUCAUGCACAGGCUGGCGCCACACUGCUCCUUCGCACGCUGGCUGCUCUGCAACGGCAGUUUGUUCCGAUACAAGCACCCGUCUGAGGAGGAGCUUCGGGCCCUGGCGGGGAAGCCGAGGCCCAGAGGCAGGAAAGAGCGGUGAGUGAGCUGGGCCCCAGCCCCAGCCUUGGGAGGGUGGCUCCUCCCCAGGAACGGCCUCACCCCUCCUCAGGGGGCUCCAGGCUCAGGGACACAGGACCAGCCCACCCAUACUUCCAGGCGCUGAUCUGGCAGACCCUAGUCCAAGGAGAUGGUCACUGUCAAGUUAGCAUCUGUUUCCUGGCAGUUUGCUCUAGCCAGUCCUGUGGGUGGUGGGGGGGGUCCCCACAUCCCA
rnacentral:sRNA from 1 species